rnacentral:lncRNA from 10 species
CCCCUUCCAAAUUCUCAUAGUGCGUGGCUGGGAUGAGGGCGGCGCUCACGGUGAGGAAGCCCCGAGCUCCCGGGACGCAGACAGGGUGUGCAGGGCCGUAGCUCGGGCCUGUGUAUGCACCUGUGCGUGUGUGUUUGAUGCCAGGACAAGGCGGCGGUGUGCGCGGCGAGGAGGCUGCGACAGCUGUAUAGACCCCAGCUGCAGUGAAAUGGCCAUCAAAAAGGGAAGGGAUAAUCGAGUGGUGGAAUAAAAUCUGCAAACAGAAAAAGGACAGACCUGUUUUCGGAACGAGGCUUUUCGAGUGACCACCAUGACUGAAGGCUAAGAGCAACUUGCUUGCGCAUUAAAGAUCACUUGGAGAGAGAGGUCCAGUGAGCAACAACGGCCAGAAAUUUCAGGGAGACCAUCUUGAACCAUCCAGCCUCCACCAGGCCAACAGCUGACAGCUGUCACAUGAAUAUGAUCAGCAGAAGAACCACUCAGGCAAGCCAAGCCCAAAUUGCCAAGCCCCCCAAAUAAUAAGCUAAUUGUUUUUUGUUUUAAGCCAUAAACUUUUGAGGUGGUUAUAUAGCAAUAAAUAACUGAAACAGGUGUUUAACUUUCUAGACUUUUUAAAUGACCAUAUUGAUAUAAUUGUAUUGUUCAACCUGUUUUGUAAAGUGAUUUCUCUGAUACAGUAUCUUGAAAAUAUUCCUUAACUAUUUUCUACAACUUUGCAUUUGUCUAUCUUAGUAUUAUAUUACAUGGAUAUGUGGUAACUUAUUUAACUACUAACUUCCCUUUGCAAUUCCUUUUCCUUGCUGUCUAGCUCCCAUGUCUUGACCAACUUUGCAUUCCCCUCCAGGACCUUAUGGGCACAUGGGUUCCUAUCAUUUCACGGGUAUGUAGACUCAGGAAUGUGGCAUUGACUUCUGGGUGGAGUACAGAUGACUGACACCCCCACCCCGAUUCGGAGGAAUUAUUCAGGGGUGUGAUAUAACACCUACAUACAUUUAUUUAACUAGC